UACGGGGGGGGCAAGCGUUGUUCGGAAUUACUGGGCGUAAAGGGCUCGUAGGCGGCCAACUAAGUCGGACGUGAAAUCCCUCGGCUUAACCGGGGAACUGCGUCCGAUACUGGAUGGCUUGAGUUUGGGAGAGGGAUGCGAAUUCCAGGUGGUAGCGGUGAAAUGCGUAGAUAUGCGGAGGAACACCGAUGGCGAAGGCAAUCCCUGGGCCUGCACUGACGCUCAUGCACGAAAGCGUGGGGAGCAAACAGG
rnacentral:rRNA from 1 species